AGGAAUAUUGGUCAAUGGGCGCGAGCCUGAACCAGCCAAGUAGCGUGAAGGAUGAAGGUCCUAUGGAUUGUAAACUUCUUUUAUACGGGAAUAAAGUGGUCCACGUGUGGACUUUUGCAUGUACCGUAUGAAUAAGCAUCGGCUAACUCCGUGCCAGCAGCCGCGGUAAUGCGGAGGAUGCGAGCGUUAUCCGGAUUUAUUGGGUUUAAAGGGAGCGCAGACGGGGGAUUAAGUCAGUUGUGAAAGUUUGCGGCUCAACCGUAAAAUUGCAGUUGAUACUGGUUCCCUUGAGUGCAGUUGAGGCAGGCGGAAUUCGUGGUGUAGCGGUGAAAUGCAUAGAUAUCACGAAGAACCCCGAUUGCGAAGGCAGCCUGCUAAGCUGUAACUGACGUUGAGGCUCGAAAGUGUGGGUAUCAAACAGGAUUAGAUACCCUGGUAGUCCACACGGUAAACGAUGGAUACUCGCUGUUGGCGAUAUACUGUCAGCGGCCAAGCGAAAGCAUUAAGUAUCCCACCUGGGGAGUACGCCGGCAACGGUGAAACUCAAAGGAAUUGACGGGGGCCCGCACAAGCGGAGGAACAUGUGGUUUAAUUCGAUGAUACGCGAGGAACCUUACCCGGGCUUAAAUUGCAGACGAAUUACCUGGAAACAGGUAAGCCGCAAGGCGUCUGUGAAGGUGCUGCAUGGUUGUCGUCAGCUCGUGCCGUGAGGUGUCGGCUUAAGUGCCAUAACGAGCGCAACCCUCGUGGCCAGUUACUAGCAGGUAAUGCUGAGGACUCUGGCCAGACUGCCAUCGUAAGAUGCGAGGAAGGUGGGGAUGACGUCAAAUCAGCACGGCCCUUACGUCCGGGGCUACACACGUGUUACAAUGGGAGGUACAGAAGGCAGCUACCCGGCGACGGGAUGCCAAUCUCCAAAGCCUCUCUCAGUUCGGACUGGAGUCUGCAACCCGACUCCACGAAGCUGGAUUCGCUAGUAAUCGCGCAUCAGCCACGGCGCGGUGAAUACGUUCCCG
rnacentral:rRNA from 1 species